rnacentral:rRNA from 1 species
AGCGAACGCUGGCGGCAUGCCUUACACAUGCAAGUCGAACGGCAGCGCGGGAGCAAUCCUGGCGGCGAGUGGCGAACGGGGUGAGUAAUACAUCGGGAACGUGCCCAAUCGUGGGGGAGUAACGCAGCGAAGCUGUGCUAAUACGCAUACGAUCUACGGAUGAAAGCAGGGGAUCGCAAGACCUUGCGCGAAUGGAGCGGCCGAUGGCAGAUUAGGUAGUUGGUGAGGUAAAGGCUCACCAAGCCUUCGAUCUGUAGCUGGUCUGAGAGGACGACCAGCCACACUGGGACGUGAGACACGGCCC